UGUCUUUAUGGCAAAUGUGAGAUGCAGUGUAUGGAAUGUCAAAUUUCUAGUAUGAGAAAUUAACGAUUUAAGUCCUUCUUAAAUGAGGCCAUUUACCCAUAGAGGGUGCCAGGCCCGUAAAACGUUAAUGAUUACUAGAUGACAUUUCCAAAGAGUCGUGUUGCUUGAUAGUGCAGCACUAAGUGGGUGGUAAACUCCAUCUAAAACUAAAUAUAACCAUGAGACCGAUAGUAAACAAGUACCGUGAGGGAAAGUUGAAAAGAACUCUGAAUAGAGAGUUAAAUAGUACGUGAAACUGCUUAGAGGUUAAGCCCGAUGAACCUGAAUAUCCUUUAUGGAAAAUUCAUCAUUAAGAUUUUAAUAUUUGUAAUAUUGAAAUAAUGGUGUGCAUUUUUUCCAUAUAUGGACAUUGUAAUCUAUUAAUAUGCACAAUAUUUAUCAUAAGAUCAUUAGCUUAAGUUUAUUCAAAUUAUUUUGCUUGCAAUUUAACAUAGAAUAAGUGCUGAUGAUUUGAUAAAGUGUUGAUAGAUUUAUUAUAUAUGGUGCUUGAAUAUUUAUAUUCUAUAAUGGCAUAUUGAUCAUUGAUCUUUGUGUUUAUUAUAUGCACUUAUAUGAUUAACAAUGCGAAAGAUUCAGGAUACCUUCGGGACCCGUCUUGAAACACGGACCAAGGAGUCUAACAUAUUUGCAAGUUAUUGGGAAUUAAAAACCUAAUAGCGAAAUUAACAUAACUUAUAUAAUGGGAUUAGUUUUUAGUACUAUUUAUAGUCUAUUAAUUCAAUCCCGGGGCGUUCUAUACAGUUAUGUAUAAUGGUAUUUAUACUAUUUAUACCUCUAACUAGAGCGUACCUUGAGCAUAUAUGCUGUGACCCGAAAGAUGGUGAACUAUACUUGAUCAGGUUGAAGUCAGGGGAAACCCUG
rnacentral:rRNA from 1 species